rnacentral:tRNA from 1 species
UCCUUGGUGGCCUAGCAGUUAAGGAUUCAGUAUUGUCACUGCUGUGGCAUGGGUUUGAACCCUGUCCCAGGAA